UACGUAGGUGGCAAGCGUUGUCCGGAUUUACUGGGCGUAAAGAGCGCGCAGGCGGUCGUACAAGUCGCGUGUGAAAGCCCCCGGCUCAACUGGGGAGGGUCACGCGAUACUGUUCGACUCGAAGGCAGGAGAGGGAAGCAGAAUUCCCGGUGCAGUGGUGAAAUGCGUAGAUAUCGGGAGGAAUACCAGUGGCGAAGGCGGCUUCCUGGCCUGUUCUUGACGCUGAGGCGCGAAAGCUAGGGUUGCAAACGGG
rnacentral:rRNA from 1 species